rnacentral:rRNA from 1 species
ACGGGUGAGUAACGCGUAAGAACUUGCCCUUUAGACUGGGAUAACAGAGGGAAACUUCUGAUAAUACUGGAUAAGUUAGUAUAUCGCAUGAUAUGCAAAUGAAAGCUACGGCACUAAAGGAGAGCUUUGCGUCCUAUUAGCUAGUUGGUAAGGUAAGAGCUUACCAAGGCGAUGAUAGGUAGCCGGCCUGAGAGGGUGGACGGCCACAAGGGGACUGAGAUACGGCCCUUACUCCUACGGGAGGCAGCAGUA